rnacentral:rRNA from 1 species
UACGUAGGGGGCUAGCGUUGUCCGGAAUCAUUGGGCGUAAAGCGCGCGUAGGCGGCCAGAUAAGUCCGGUGUGAAAGUCACAGGCUCAACCUGUGAAUGCCGCUGGAAACUGUCUGGCUUGAGUCCGGAAGGGGCGAGUGGAAUUCCCGGUGUAGUGGUGAAAUGCGUAGAUAUAGGAAGGAACACCAGUGGCGAAGGCGACCACCUGGACUGAUACUGACACUGAGGUGCGAAAGCGUGGGGAGCAAACAGG